UUAAAGUGUCUUGUGUAAAAACUUUACAUUACUUAAAUAUCAACUACAAUUACACUAGUACAGAAACUUUUUUGGACAUGGACUUCAAUUCCAUGUACUUUGAAAGAGAAAGGAGAAGAGGGAUGUCCUGGGGUGGGGAGCACAAGUUCACUCAUUACUUGUUGACGUUAUAUACGAUUGCAUUUACAUUUCAACUAUUUUUGAGUUUGGACAGGAUCAUAAUAAUUCCUCUAUGCUUUUCAAGAUAGAGAAAAGAGGGAACCUUAGCAAGCCUUAUCAUAUGAACACUGCUGCAAGUGGGAUGACAUCAGGAAUGGUUGAGAAUCCACGGAGAGAGGUUGUGCAUCAAACUCGGAAAAACAUUCGUAGAGCAUCGACUACUUUCUCAGGCCAAUCCUCUUGAGGCAUAUGGCCAGCGCCUUCAAUCAGCUUAAGCUCGACAGAUCGAGGAUUUGCCUUCUGAAAUUCCUCCGCAAUUGAUUGUGGGAGAUACUUAUCUGAUAUUCCCCAAGCAACUAAAAUUGGUUUAUCCCAGCUUCCAGCUGCAAAACCAGAUGAUAUUUGACUUGCAGUCUCACUGAAGUUAGCUCUCUUUGCAGCUUCCAACAAAGCAAAUCCAGGUCCACUGCUUGACAAAUAUGGUAGUCGGUACACAUCAGCCUUCUCCAGCUUUAAGACAUAGGCGCUACCUGCUUCAAUAAAGCGCUCAGCCAUUACUGCAUUCUGGCAAGUAAAUUCACCGAAGAAGGGAAUUCUGAGCUGCUGAAAAAGUCCAGGAAUAGGUGAAGAAACUGUCAAUGGAGUGUUAAGAAUCGCAAGCUUCAAUAUUUUGCUGGGAUUUUUCAAGGUCCAAGUCAAUCCAUAUGAACCCACAAGAAACCCCUGAACUACAAGGAAAAAUGGAGAUGUCACCCCCAGGACUUCAAGUAACUUCUCAAACUCUUCAUGGAACUCUUUCUCAGUGUAGUCGAAACCGUAACCAGGUUGUGGCUUGUCACUGAAUCCAAAUCCGAUCCAGUCUGGUGCAAAGCAAUGGAACCCAGCAUCUGACAGCUGAGACAUAACAACUCGAUAGCUGUAUGAUUGUGUUGGAGCUCCAUGGAGAAAGACAAUUGUCCCACGUCUGCUUUCAGGUGAUCCUGUUUCUCUCACAAACCACCUAAAUUUUCCUGAUUUGACAUAUGAUCCGUAUUCCUUUCCUUUGUCUUCAGUUCUGUAAAGCAUUUGGCCGACGUUUCCGUCCUCUGCAGGACUCUCAGGCAUCUGAAUUGCGCUUCGGCUGGACGGAUUGUCAGUGACAAAACCGAACGGGUUAAAUGCGGGUUUAUUAUCGUCUUUCUCACCAGAGCUUCUUCGGAGAAAGACGAUAAUAAACCCGCA
rnacentral:misc_RNA from 1 species